rnacentral:rRNA from 1 species
UACGAAGGGGGCUAGCGUUGCUCGGAAUCACUGGGCGUAAAGCGCACGUAGGCGGAUGUGUCAGUCAGGGGUGAAAUCCCGGAGCUCAACUUCGGAACUGCCUUUGAUACUGGCGACCUUGAGUCCGGGAGAGGUGAGUGGAACUGCGAGUGUAGAGGUGAAAUCCGUAGAUAUUCGCAAGAACACCAGUGGCGAAGGCGGCUCACUGGCCCGGUACUGACGCUGAGGUGCGAAAGCGUGGGGAGCAAACAGG